CCACACGGCCGAGCGACCGAAUCCUGGCUCUGUAGAUGGAUCGGGAUGAAGAAUUACUUAUUCUUCUCCCUCCCCCGCCGCGCGCCGCCCCAUCCCUCCCCGCCGGCGAUUCGCCUCCUCCCUCCCCCGCCGCCCUGCUGCCAGCCUCCUACUUCCCCCGCCUGAUGCACCCCGAUGCCGCCGGACCAGACCCAUGCCGCGGCGACCCCAACUUACCCCGCCUUUCUCCUUCCUCCAGCGCGCAGCCCCGCCACCCCCUCCCCCCAGCGCGCAGCCCCGCAGCCCCUCCCUCCCCCCAGCGCGCAACCCCGCAGCCCCUCCCUCCAGUGCGCCGCCCGGCAUCCCCUCCCUCGAGCGUGCCGCCCCGCCAUGGUCCUCCCUCCAGUGUGCCGCCAGACCACGCUCUACGCAGCGCUUCCACGGGAUCCUCUGCACGCAGCCGGCGUCUCACCUCACGCCGCCGCACAACAUCUUCCUUGCUUGUCGGCGUCAUACAGGUUUCUUCGGCCGCCGCCCCGCCUGACCCAACUACCUCGCAUUUGCACUGGGACCGGCCUUCAUCGAAGUUUCUCCCAAUCCUUCGACCUCGUCGUGCCAUGCAGCAUGCUUCAGUUCAAGAAAAAUCUCAAUAAAAGUUCAGAGUAGUUCACACUUCAGUUAGCACCUGGCGUCGGCCGAGGCAACCAUCCCCACCUCCCCUGACCAGAUCCUCCAUGGCCCUCGGCCACGAGCUCGUCCACCAUGGUUACUCGCAGUCGUCCAAGUGGAGCACGGACAUCAGUCCAAGUAGAAUUGAAGCCACCAUCUUCACCAAGCUCUGCGUAGCCGUCCAAGUUGAGCACACACAACAAUCCAAGGUGAUGCAUGAUCACUAAUGGAUUCAGAAUCUUUUAUUAGUUUGAAUUCUACAAGUCUCAAUUCUGUGGAUGCUUACUGCUCUCUGGAAUGGCGAUGGCGUACUAUAUAGAAAUCUGAAUGCUCACACUUUCUACUUGCUAUAGCUGAUACUAGGCUUUUUUCCAUUAUGCUACUUGCUACAUGUAGUUAUCAUGGGUGCUGGCUGGACAGGUUGUUUUUGUUAUCAUGAUAUUAGUCAAUUACUUUUACAGACCACUUAUUGGAAUUGGGGCUGCAAUUAAAGUAGCAAAAAUAUGAUGUAUUUCAAAUAUCAUGUUGAAAACAAGGAAGCUAACGACUCUUCAUCUCAAGGUAACUAGUUUCUGAACCUAUUAUCUAAAACUAAAAUUCUCAAGUUCCAAAACCUAAACAAACUUUGUGUUUAUUUUGAAUGAUAUUGUUCAUUAAACUUUUUUAGAGAGCAUCAGUUAAUGCUUAGUAGGCUAGAAUAAAAACUCUGAAUCAUGUAUCUUCUACAGCUAGCUUAUGUUGUCUUUGAAAUUGUUAUAAAUCAUUUCACAUUAAUAUUUUGUAUGUAUCAAUGGACUUGAAUAGUCCACCUGUGUGCUCUGCCGCUGGUCGUUCAGGAAGCUAACCCCUGAGCUCCCGAUCCCUCACCCUUCUCUCUCUCUCUCUGUGUGUGUGUGUGUGUGUGUGUGUGUGUACCAUUCAUUUGUUAGGGUGUGUUCCUUGUAAAUUCUCUCUCCCCUCUCUCAUUUCAUUUAUGUUCAGGAUACAAUGUGCAAGAUGGAAAAAAGUGUGUAUCGUGUAGUUCAUGUUUAGAUGUCGGGCAAGCUAAAAAAUUAGGGCUCAAGAAAUAAAAAAACCUGAACCACCGGGAAGGUCGCUGGAAACAAAUCCUCUAUAAGUUCACCAGUCCAUUCAUGAUAAGAUAUUCUAUGGAACAUUUGCAAACAGUAGGGAUUUUGUUUUUGGGUGUUUUCCGUUGAUCUGUGCUCAAGAAACAUGAGAGUCCUAUUGAUUAUUAGUGAGAGUACAAGCUCAGAGUUUGCAAGCCUUUUGUGAUUCUUAAGUGCAUAUGAUGUCUUACACUUGAUCUCUGAACUUCAGGUAAGUUCAUGUUGACACUAUAUCAAUCCUGAUGUAGAAAUGUAUGUCUGAUGUCAAGUUUUUCUUUCGGUUCAGUUCAAUAUCUAAAAUCCGUUCAAUUCAAUUCUUAUGUGUGGUCCAGGCAAUGUGUCGCACAGCCACCAACCUCCUCUGGUUGGACCGCAGCACCACCGGCCCGUCCACAACGGUUGCUGGCAGCCGUCCAAGUUGAGCGCUGAUGGUAGUCCUCUGCGUGCGUCAACUACACUCUCACAUCAAUCUCUCCCACUUUUCUUCUGCUAUUAAAAUGCAUACAUGUGUUCUGCUAAUUGAGUAGUUGGAGAUAUGUGAAAAGAACACGCUCUUUAGGUGUUCAGUACAAUUUAUUAAUUUAGUUCAGUUCAAAAAUCUUAUCUUAACAGUGUAAUAUACAUUGUUGGCAAAAGAUGACUAGUUGUUAUAGCAAAAACAGUAGAGACUUUUUAAAA